rnacentral:rRNA from 1 species
CCUACGGGAGGCAGCAGUGAGGAAUAUUGGUCAAUGGGCGCGAGCCUGAACCAGCCAAGUAGCGUGAAGGAUGACUGCCCUACGGGUUGUAAACUUCUUUUAUAAAGGAAUAAAGUGAGGCACGUGUGCCUUUUUGUAUGUACUUUAUGAAUAAGGAUCGGCUAACUCCGUGCCAGCAGCCGCGGUAAUACGGAGGAUCCGAGCGUUAUCCGGAUUUAUUGGGUUUAAAGGGAGCGUAGAUGGGUUGUUAAGUCAGUGGUGAAAGUUUGCGGCUCAACCGUAAAAUUGCAAUUGAUACUGGCAGUCUUGAGUACAGUUGAGGUAGGCGGAAUUCGUGGUGUAGCGGUGAAAUGCUUAGAUAUCACGAAGAACUCCGAUUGCGAAGGCAGCUUACGAAUCCGCGAUUGACGCUGAUGCACGAAAGCGUGGGUAUCAAACAGGAUUAGAUACCCGAGUAGUC